UCCUUAGUAGCUGAGACAGUAAAGCAUUUGCCUGCAAUGCAGGAGACCCAAGUUUGAUCCCUGAGUCAGGAA
rnacentral:tRNA from 1 species